GCGUUGUCCGGAAUUACUGGGCGUAAAGAGCUCGUAGGUGGUUUGUCGCGUUGUUCGUGAAAUCUCACGGCUUAACUGUGAGCGUGCGGGCGAUACGGGCAGACUUGAGUACUGCAGGGGGGACUGGAAUUCCUGGUGUAGCGGUGGAAUGCGCAGAUAUCAGGAGGAACACCGGUGGCGAAGGCGGGUCUCUGGGCAGUAACUGACGCUGAGGAGCGAAAGCGUGGGGAGCGAACAGGAUUAGAUACCCUGGUAGUCCACGCCGUAAACGGUGGGUACUAGGUGUGGGUUUCCUUCCUUGGGGUCCGUGCCGUAGCUAACGCAUUAAGUACCCCGCCUGGGGAGUACGGCCGCAAGGCUAAAACUCAAAGAAAUUGACGGGGGCCCGCACAAGCGGCGGAGCAUGUGGAUUAAUUCGAUGCAACGCGGAGAACCUUACCUGGGUUUGACAUGCACAGGACGCCGGCAGAGAUGUCGGUUCCCUUGUGGCCUGUGUGCAGGUGGUGCAUGGCUGUCGUCAGCUCGUGUCGUGAGAUGUUGGGUUAAGUCCCGCAACGA
rnacentral:rRNA from 1 species